rnacentral:rRNA from 1 species
CCUACGGGAGGCAGCAGUGGGGAAUAUUGGACAAUGGGGGGAACCCUGAUCCAGCGACGCCGCGUGAGUGAAGAAGUAUUUCGGUAUGUAAAGCUCUAUCAGCAGGGAAGAAAGAAAUGACGGUACCUGACUAAGAAGCCCCGGCUAACUACGUGCCAGCAGCAGCGGUAAUACGUAGGGGGCAAGCGUUAUCCGGAUUUACUGGGUGUAAAGGGAGCGUCGACGGCGAUGCAAGUCUGAAGUGAAAGGCGGGGGCCCAACCCCCGAACUGCGUUGGAAACUGUAUGGCUGGAGUGCAGUAGAGGUAAGUGGAAUUCCUAGUGUAGCGGUGAAAUGCGUAGAUAUUAGGAGGAACACCGGUGGCGAAGGCGGCCUGCUGGACUGCAACUGACGUUGAGGCCCGAAAGCGUGGGGAGCAAACAGGAUUAGAUACCCCAGUAGUC